rnacentral:rRNA from 1 species
UUGGAGGGCAAGUCUGGUGCCAGCAGCCGCGGUAAUUCCAGCUCCAAUAGCGUAUAUUAAAGUUGUUGCAGUUAAAAAGCUCGUAGUUGAACUUCGGGGUUUACCCAUUGGUCAGGCUUAAUUGUCUGUACUGGUGAGAUGAAUCUCUACCUUCUGAGGAACUUUCAUGCCAUUUAUUUGGUGUGAUGGGAAAUCAGGACUGUUACUUUGAAAAAAUUAGAGUGUUUAAAGCAGGCUAACGUCUGAAUACAUUAGCAUGGAAUAAUGAAAUAGGACGGACUGAUUCUAUUUCGUUGGUUUCUAGGAUCACCGUAAUGAUUAAUAGGGAUAGUUGGGGGCAUUAGUAUUCAAUUGUCAGAGGUGAAAUUCUUGGAUUUAUUGAAGACUAACUACUGCGAAAGCAUUUGCCAAGGAUGUGUUCAUUAAUCAAGAACGAAAGUUAGGGGAUCGAAGACGAUCAGGUACCGUCGUAGUCUUAACCAUAAACUAUGCCGACUAGGGAUCGGACGAAGUUAAUUUCAUAAUGACGCGUUCGGCGCCUUACGGGAAAC